AACGAACGCUGGCGGCGCGCCUAACACAUGCAAGUCGAACGAGAAUCCGGGGCAACCCGGUAGUAAAGUGGCAAACGGGUGAGGAAUACAUGGGUAACCUACCCUUGAGAAGGGAAUAACCCGCCGAAAGGUGAGCUAAUACCCUAUACGCUAUCUUUUUUCGAAAAGGAUAGGAAAGACCGGGUCGAGGACCUGGUACUCAAGGAGGGGCUCAUGUCCUAUCAGCUUGUUGGUGGGGUAACGGCCUACCAAGGCUACGACGGGUAGCUGGUCUGAGAGGAUGAUCAGCCACACUGGCACCGAGAUACGGGCCAGACUCCUACGGGAGGCAGCAGUGAGGAAUAUUGCGCAAUGGGCGAAAGCCUGACGCAGCGACGCCGCGUGGGGGA
rnacentral:rRNA from 1 species